UACAGAGGUCUCAAGCGUUGUUCGGAAUUACUGGGCGUAAAGAGUGUGUAGGCGGCGCUCUAAGUUCGGUGUGAAAUCUCUCGGCUUAACUGGGAGGGUGCGCCGGAAACUGGAGUGCUCGAACGUGGGAGAGGAAAGCGGAAUUCCUGGUGUAGCGGUGAAAUGCGUAGAUAUCAGGAGGAACACCUGCGGUGUAGACGGCUUUCUGGACCAUUGUUGACGCUGAGACACGAAAGCGUGGGUAGCAAAUAGG
rnacentral:rRNA from 1 species